AUUGAACGCUGGCGGCAUGCCUUACACAUGCAAGUCGAACGGCAGCACGGGAGCUUGCUCCUGGUGGCGAGUGGCGAACGGGUGAGUAAUACAUCGGAACGUACCCUGAAGUGGGGGAUAACGUAGCGAAAGUUACGCUAAUACCGCAUAUUCUGUGAGCAGGAAAGAGGGGGAUCGCAAGACCUCUUGCUUUAGGAGCGGCCGAUGUCGGAUUAGCUAGUUGGUGAGGUAAAGGCUCACCAAGGCGACGAUCCGUAGCGGGUCUGAGAGGAUGAUCCGCCACGCUGGGACUGAGACACGGCCCAGACUCCUACGGGAGGCAGCAGUGGGGAAUUUUGGACAAUGGGCGCAAGCCUGAUCCAGCCAUGCCGCGUGAGUGAAGAAGGCCUU
rnacentral:rRNA from 1 species